UUAGUUGGUGAGGUAAUGGCUCACCAAGGCGAUGAUCGGUAGCUGGUCUGAGAGGACGAUCAGCCACACGGGAACUGAGACACGGUCCCGACUCCUACGGGGGGCAGCAGUGAGGAAUAUUCGUCAAUGGGGGGAACCCUGAACGAGCAACGCCGCGUGGAGGAUGAAGGCCCUUGGGUUGUAAACUCCUUUUCGGAGGGAAGAGGAAGGACGGUACCUUCGGAAUAAGUCACGGCUAACUACGUGCCAGCAGCCGCGGUAAUACGUAGGUGGCAAGCGUUAUCCGGAAUUACUGGGCGUAAAGCGCACGCAGGCGGCUGUCCAAGUCUGACGUGAAAGCUCCUGGCUUAACUGGGAGAGGUCGUUGGAAACUAGAUAGCUUGAGGCGAGGAGAGGGGUGUAGAAUUCCCGGUGUAGUGGUGGAAUGCGUAGAUAUCGGGAGGAAUACCAGUGGCGAAAGCGGCACCCUGGCCUUGGCCUGACGCUCAGGUGCGAAAGCGUGGGUAGCGAACGGGAUUAGAUACCCCCGGUAGUCCACGCCGUAAACGAUGAGUACUAGUUGUCGGCAUGCAUGCAUGUCGGUGACGCAGCUAACGCAUUAAGCACUCCGCCUGGGGAGUACGGUCGCAAGAUUAAAACUCAAAGGAAUUGACGGGGGCCCGCACAAGCGGUGGAGCAUGUGGUUUAAUUCGAAGCAACGCGCAGAACCUUACCACCUUUUGACAUGCCCGGCUCGCCAGAGAGAUCUGGUUUUCCCUUCGGGGACUGGGACACAGGUGCUGCAUGGCUGUCGUCAGCUCGUGUCGUGAGAUGCUGGGUUAAGUCCCGCAACGAGCGCAACCCACGCCAUUAGUUGCCAUCAUUUAGUUGGGCACUCUAAUGGGACCGCCGGUGGUAAGCCGGAGGAAGGUGUGGAUGACGUCAAGUCCUCAAGGCCCUUACAGGGUGGGCUACACACGUGCUACAAUGGCGACUACAAAGGGUUGCCAACCCGCGAGGAGGAGCUAAUCCCAUAAAGCCAGUCGUAGUCCGGAUCGCAGUCUGCAACUCGACUGCGUGAAGUCGGAAUCGCUAGUAAUCGUGGAUCAGAAUGUCACGGUGAAUACGUUCCCGGGUCU
rnacentral:rRNA from 1 species